rnacentral:rRNA from 1 species
GUGAGUAACACGUGGAUAACCUACCUAUAAGACUGGGAUAACUUCGGGAAACCGGAGCUAAUACCGGAUAAUAUUUUGAACCGCAUGAUUCAAAAGUGAAAGACGGUCUUGCUGUCACUUAUAGAUGGAUCCGCGCUGCAUUAGCUAGUUGGUAAGGUAACGGCUUACCAAGGCAACGAUGCAUAGCCGACCUGAGAGGGUGAUCGGCCACACUGGAACUGAGACACGGUCCAGACUCCUACGGGAGGCAGCAGUAGGGAAUCUUCCGCAAUGGGCGAAAGCCUGACGGAGCAACGCCGCGUGAGUGAUGAAGGUCUUCGGAUCGUAAAACUCUGUUAUUAGGGAAGAACAUAUGUGUAAGUAACUGUGCACAUCUUGACGGUACCUAAUCAGAAAGCCACGGCUAACUACGUGCCAGCAGCCGCGGUAAUACGUAGGUGGCAAGCGUUAUCCGGAAUUAUUGGGCGUAAAGCGCGCGUAGGCGGUUUUUUAAGUCUGAUGUGAAAGCCCACGGCUCAACCGUGGAGGGUCAUUGGAAACUGGAAAACUUGAGUGCAGAAGAGGAAAGUGGAAUUCCAUGUGUACGGUGAAAUGCGCAGAGAUAUGGAGGAACACCAGUGGCGAAGGCGACUUUCUGGUCUGUAACUGACGCUGAUGUGCGAAAGCGUGGGGAUCAAACAGGAUUAGAUACCCUGGUAGUCCACGCCGUAAACGAUGAGUGCUAAGUGUUAGGGGGUUUCCGCCCCUUAGUGCUGCAGCUACGCAUUAAGCACUCCGCCUG